AAAGGGGGCAGGUAUUGUGGGCAGCUAGCCAGUGGUCAAUGCAAAUCAUGUGAAAUGUGUGCCCACAAGCAGGUAUUUGUUGAAGCUUAUCAUCUGCCAGGUAAUCCCCUAAGCACACUGAACACUGAGUAUCUUUGACAGAAAAACUCUCCUUGAAGACAAUAAUAGGCAACAUCUCCCUCACUUCCUUCUUCAACCCCAUUUCACACCUUGAGAGUUCAUCAGAUUCAUUAGCAGUGUGGAAUGUAGACGUCCUCAUCCGCA
rnacentral:misc_RNA from 1 species